AUGCACUCCAUGCUUGCUAUGAAGGUGACGACAAAGGAGGCAUGGGAUGCCAUCAAGAUCAUGCGGGUCGGCGAUGCCCGCGUCCGUGAGGCCAAGGCGCAGACUCUCCUGAAGGAGUUUGAUGCCGUCCGCAUGAGGAGCGGCGAGACCCUCGAUGAGCUCGCCAUGCGCAUGAACGGGAUUGCCAACAAGCUGCGCACGCUCGGCGAGAACCUCGACGAGGUGAAGGUCGUGAAGAACCUUCUCCGCAUCGUGCCGUCCAAGUAUACCCAGGUAGCUAUUGCCAUUGAACAACUUCUUGAUCUUAAAACUAUGUCCAUGGAAGAGCUUGUGGGAAGGCUCAAAACGGCGGAGGACCGGAGCGACUUGGACGAGGGCGCCAACAACUAG
rnacentral:rRNA from 1 species